rnacentral:rRNA from 1 species
GACGAACGCUGGCGGCGUGCCUAACACAUGCAAGUUGAGCGACGAACCAGGGCUUGCCCUGGGGCAAAGCAGCGAACGGGUGAGUAACACGUGGGUAACCUGCCCCGAUUACCGGGACAACCCGAGGAAACUCGGGCUAAUACCGGAUGUGCUCGUCAGACCCAAGUCUGACGCGUAAAGGAAGCUUCGGCCUCCGAUUCGGGAGGGGCCCGCGGCCCAUUAGUUAGUUGGUGAGGUAACGGCUCACCAAGACCGCGAUGGGUAGCUGGUCUGAGAGGACGAUCAGCCACACUGGGACUGAGACACGGCCCAGACUCCUACGGGAGGCAGCAGUGGGGAAUCUUGCGCAAUGCGCGAAAGCGUGACGCAGCAACGCCGCGUGAGGGAAGACGGCCU